CAGCCUCUGGGGCAGGUCCCGGUCCUGGAGUGGCUGCAAGCGCCACCACGGCUGAGGAGGGAGAGACGGAGCCGGUGGGUGGCCGCCGCGGCUGGAGGGGUCAGUCUGCUGCUCCGGGAGCGGAACCCAGCUCUGGAGAGGCUGAGAGUGGGGAUGUAAGUGGUCUGGAGAUAGAAUCUUCUAAUGGGAAAGAUACUCUAAAAGGUGCUGGCUAUACUUCAGAAGCGAUGGAUACCCAGGUGGUCUCUGUGGAUGAAGAAAAUGGUCGACAACUGGGAGGUGGAGUUGCAGUGUGGAAUAUGUACGAAAUGGUUUACCGCUGAUACCUUCGGAAUAGACACAUUGUUUGAUAUUUACAUUGGUAAAGCCUGUUGUUACAAAAAUUUGAAGGUGUAGCAUACAGUCCAGUAGUAGUGUACUCGGCCACUGUGUGCAGAACCCUGGAUGGAUCACCAUCAUCAUAAAGACAUUUUUUUAAUUUCUCAAGAACACUGAACUAAUUUGUAUGUGUGUUUAUGCCUAACGCAUACUUUGUUUCCUUUCUAAUUGCUUAUAAUCUACCCCUAUAUAAGUAUUUUAUACUUCUGUCAGGAAAGCAAAAAAACAAACAAAAAAAACCCUUGUACCUAAACAUGUAUUUAGUCAAAGC